rnacentral:lncRNA from 10 species
GUGCACUUGGGGAGCUCGGAUUUUAAGAUGGUAGCUUGCCGAUGCUCCCAGCUGAAUAAAGCCCUUCCUUCUACAACUUGGUGUCUGAGGGGUUUUGUCUGCGGCUUGUCCUGCUACAAUAGCUCAAGAAAGCAAAGUUGGGCUGGGCACAGUGGCUCAUGCCUGUAAUCCCAGCAUUUUGGGAGGCCGAGAAAGAAGGAAACACGAAAAUGGAGUUUCACCACUCACCUGACUAGUCCUAAGGCAGAAACCCAAGGAGGAUUACUGAUAAGGAAAAACAUUUAUUGUGAUGAAGAGAAUCAUAAGAACACAUACAUAUGGGACACGCGAACAUCUAUCUACUAAGGCAGCUAAAAUGAAAGAGGAAGAUGGAGAGAAUGAAUUAGCCAAAAACCACUUUGAGUUUGACACAAUGAGUUUCUUCUUCAAUUACAGUAGAAUAAGUACAGUUUUGUGUUUAACAAUGGAAUACAUUCUGAGAACUGCAUCAUUAGACGAUUUUGUCAUUCUGCAAACAUCACGGAGUGUACUUACACCAAUUCAAUGGUAUAGCCUACUACACACCUAGGCUAUGUGCUACAUCCUAUUGAUCCAAGCCAGAAACAUGCACAGCAUACUACUGUACUAAAUACUGUGGACAAUUGUAACACAAUGUUGAACAGCCACCAGCACAGCCACCAGCUGACCAGCAGUGACCUCUGGACUGAAGUUGUUUUGAAGAUAACAAUGGAAUAUGAAUUGCAAGAGAGAAACUCCAUUGUAACCUUUUCUAAAGACAACUCCGUUUUCAAUUUGGUCUCAACAUGAUGCUACAAGAGUGGUCAUGUUGGGAAAAAGCCCCGACUAUCUCAGCAACUCAAAUUCCUUGACAUAAACCGUCUGGUGGAAGGACAACCUCCAGUGAUGCUUGGUUUCCAAACAAACUUUCCAUUGUUCUGAAUAAGGAAACUUGAAGCAUCUACUAGCAUUUUCCAUCUAUUAUCUCCUAGAAUCAGUGCCCACAGCUUUCCCUUAGGUAUUCCUAGGACUAGAUUUAGAAACUUCUCCUGGUUUGGCUAUCUCUCCUGUGUACUGUCAGUGCAAUAAUUUUAAUGGGUAUAAACACACCUGGAGGCCAACAGAGCCUCUCCCAAUUCCCUGUUCCUCUUUGGCUGUCUGCCCAAGGAGCUGACAAUGAUGACCUCAAACAUAGUGUGACACUUGACUUCACCUUUUUUUUU